UUUCUAGACUCGAUUUUAAUUUGCUAUACAAUGCAUGUGUCAAUACCAAAAUCUAUAUAAACAUAUAAAAGCAAGACACAGGCUCGCUGAUGUGGCGCAAUUAAAACUCAGGAUUUGUAUUUAUCUAUUUUUAAAGAUUUUUACCAAUUUCUGUGAUUUUCAGUGUCACAAAAAUAAAAUAAAAACUCAUCCAAAAAAAAAAAAAACGCUUCGGCCCAAAAAACACUGCUUCACAAUUCAAGCAGUUUAAACCUCUUUUUACUUCUCUUUGUAACACAUUAAAGCGGUUCAAGUUUCUUUUCCUUCAAAUUCAGUAAGUCACGCCUCUUCCUCUUCCUCUUAUAUCGGGCACUCUCUAUUUCCCAGUUGAAUUUCCAAGUAUUACCCGAGGUUGGACGCACUCUCUUUCCCGAAUGUUAGAUGUUGGUUUUUUACUUUGCAUUGAUUGCCGUCACUCGUCAGGGAAAUACAAAGUUUGGUUCCAUGAAAGUCAUUAUGAUCUUCAAUUUUGUCAUAACAAAGUUAUGCCUAUUAUAACAAAGGUGUUAAUGCAUCAGCUUCACGCAAGAUGGCCACAGGAUUGUGUUUAGUAAAUGUCAGACUUCUUCCUUUUGUUUUCCCCUCAUUCAGUAAUAUAUGUUUAAGAGAAAUAAUUUCAAAGUCAUUGUUCACAAACUGAGGGUUCGUCAUAAUAUUGUUCCAUCUCUACAUCACUUCAGUAUGAGUGGUUGUUAAAAUUUUCAUAAUUUAUCAGGAAGACUUUUAUUCGUUUCUCCUUAUUGUUUAUGAUCUA